rnacentral:rRNA from 1 species
UACGUAGGGUGCAAGCGUUAAUCGGAAUUACUGGGCGUAAAGCGUGCGCAGGCGGUUUGUUAAGCCAGAUGUGAAAUCCCCGGGCUCAACCUGGGAACUGCGUUUGGGACUGGCAAGCUAGAGUACGGCAGAGGGGGGUGGAAUUCCACGUGUAGCAGUGAAAUGCGUAGAUAUGUGGAGGAACACCGAUGGCGAAGGCAGCCCCCUGGGCCGAUACUGACGCUCAGGCACGAAAGCGUGGGGAGCAAACAGG